AUUGAACGCUGGCGGCAGGCUUAACACAUGCAGGUCGAGCGGGGAGAUGUAGCUUGCUACAUUUCCUAGCGGCGGACGGGUGAGUAAUGCUUGGGAAUCUGCCUAUUAGUGGGGGACAACGUUUCGAAAGGAACGCUAAUACCGCAUACGCCCUACGGGGGAAAGCAGGGGAUCUUCGGACCUCGCGCUAAUAGAUGAGCCUAAGUCGGAUUAGCUAGUUGGUGGGGUAAAGGCCUACCAAGGCGACGAUCUGUAGCGGGUCUGAGAGGAUGAUCCGCCACACUGGGACUGAGACACGGCCCAGACUCCUACGGGAGGCAGCAGUGGGGAAUAUUGGACAAUGGGGGGAACCCUGAUCCAGCCAUGCCGCGUGUGUGAAGAAGGCCUUAUGGUUGUAAAGCACUUUAAGCGAGGAGGAGGCUUCUUUGGUUAAUACCCAAAGUAAGUGGACGUUACUCGCAGAAUAAGCACCGGCUAACUCUGUGCCAGCCGCCGCUGUAACAC
rnacentral:rRNA from 1 species